rnacentral:rRNA from 1 species
ACGAACGCUGGCGGCAGGCCUAAAACAUGCAAGUCGAACGCUCUAGCAAUAGGGAGUGGCGCACGGGUGAGUAACAUGUGGGAAUAUGCCUUUUGGUACGGAACAACUUUUGGAAACGAAAGCUAAUACCGUAUGGUCCCUUCGGGGUAAAGAUUUAUCGCCAAAAGAGUAGCCCGCACUGGAUUAGCUAGUUGGUAAGGUAAUGGCUUACCAAGGCGACGAUCCAUAGCUGGUCUGAGAGGACGAUCAGCCCCACUGGGACUGAGACACGGCCCAGACUCCUACGGGAGGCAGCAGUUAGGAAUAUUGGACAAUGGGCGCAAGCCUGAUCCAGCAAUGCCGCGUGAAUGAUGAAGGCCUUAGGGUUGUAAAGUUCUUUCGCUCGUGACGAUGAUGACGGUAACGAGAGAAGAAGCCCCGGCUAACUUCGU